AAUAAGUGUAGUUUUGUAUUAUUUAUGUUCAGGUUUGAUUGUUCGUCUUAUUUAAAAAAAAUUUAUGAUUAGUAUUUUUAUUGCUAUUACAUGAUAAAACAUGAAUAGUACUUUAUGUGUGACUAAAUAUUUUUAAAUUUUUCAUAAAAUUUUUAAAUAAGACGGACGGUCAAACGUUGGGCACGGAUAUCCACGGCUGCACUUAUU
rfam:Oryza rufipogon genomic scaffold, chr04